CUCACCAGAAUCACUCCAAGAAAGGUAGAAGAAGAAGAGCAUUGAAUACAAGUGGAGGCGAAGCUCGCGGCAAGGAGAAAUUCUAACCGAAUUCAAGAAGAUUGCAAGCACUGAAACAGAAGGAAGAAGAACGCGGCGACACAUCAAAACCGAUCCAUUCGUAGCCGUCGCCGAUCCGUCCUCCCGUCGUCAUCGCCGGUACAUUAAGUUGCUAAUAUUGCUUUGCUUUGCUUGCUAAGCAAUUUGCACCGAGGUACAUUCCAGAGCUUGAUUCAUUGAUAGAGAUGGCAACAGUUCCCGAGCCGAAGCGGAAGACUUGUUCCUACAUUUUCCACCGUGAGCCUUUGACAUCUCUGAUUGAGUUGAGUAGUCUUGUGACCAGUGAGCGUCUGAGGGGGUUUGUGGAUCAGUAUGGGGAUAUUCUGACUCUGUUGAAGAUGGUAGUUGACCCGG